rnacentral:rRNA from 1 species
AUAAUGACUCUCGGCAACGGAUAUCUCGGCUCUCGCAUCGAUGAAGAACGCAGCGAAAUGCGAUACCUGGUGUGAAUUGCAGAAUCCCGCGAAUCAUCGAGUCUUUGAACGCAAGUUGCGCCCGAGGCCUUUAGGUCGAGGGCACGCCUGCCUGGGCGUCACG